AACAACAGUAACUAUCAAUCAGGAAUGAUAAACUAAAGCAACAGGAGCAGUUUUUAAACCAAAACAGCUUCACAAUACCCAGGAAGGAACUACAGAAGUAAAACACCCAAUAGAUGACAAAAAUAGCUUGAUUGAACCCAAAAUACUCGAAAUUAACCCAGGAACACUUUGAAGUUCCAGCAACCAAACAACAAGGAAUUCUCAAAUCAUUUUCAUAUUAUUCUGGGCUAGAGAUUCGAAUCUGAAACUAGUACUUGAAAUUAUUCUAAGAAACAUUUCAAUAGAACUAUAUUUUUGGGAUUUUUUGAAGGUUUUCUGUUGUUUUUUGGUUUUUGAAGAACUAGAUCUAGAGUUUUUGGAUUUGAAAUUCAAAUCUUCAGCUUAUGAAGACUUGUGGAAAU
rnacentral:lncRNA from 1 species